rnacentral:rRNA from 1 species
AACGUAGGAGACAAACGUUAUCCGGAGUUACUGGGCGUAAAGGGCGUGUAGGUGGUUUCGUAAGUCUGGCGUGAAAUUUCUCGGCUUAACCGAGGCAGGUCGUCGGAUACUGCGGAACUUGAGGACGGUAGAGGCGUGUGGAAUUCCGGGUGUAGCAGUGAAAUGCGUAGAUAUGCGGAGGAACACCGAUGGCGAAGGCAAUCCCCUGGGCCAAUACUGACGCUCAUGCACGAAAGCGUGGGGAGCAAACAGG